AGGUGCCCCAGCGGUUCUGGGGAGCAAUUCCUCUCUUCAUAUGACCAUUUGGGAAACCCCCAGUGAGAUGGAGUGUGCUUUUAAGCCAUGAAAACCAUGCACAUCAGCCCCACCACAGAGCCUGUGUGAUUUCAUCUUAGAUGGUAUCUUGGAAGCAAGACCUACCUGGACUUUUUAGAAAUCUAAUCUAAUCAUUUUCUGUCUUGGAGUAGGGAGUUGAAAGGCACAAGUGCGGACAAGAGGAUCAAUCAAAGCUCCGUUCUGUUCCCAAUCCUUCCAGUCCCGAUGCUCCAGAGAGCAGGGGAGGCACCUGUACACAGGUACUGGGCAUGAUUGAUGAGGCAGUGCCCAGGAGCCCAACUUCCUCGAAGCGAGAGAAAGGACAGAGAUGCUAAGAUCUGCACACUUCCACAUUUUAGAGAAUUUGGGAGACCCAUGUUGGAUGUGGACCGUGGUUCUUAUUUGUAUUAUUUUCUGAGUGGUAGAUGUGCUUAAUCCCAGCACCUGCCUAAACUGAUGACAACAGCGGCUUUCCUACUGGAAGGACAUUGCCACUUGAUAGCAUAUGCUGUACCUCGCUUGCAUGUCCCUGCUUCCAAGCUUUGGGGAUUUCUAGGAUUGUUUUCUCCUAGUUUCCUUGUGUCACGUGGGCUCCUUUAUAAAAUAUCCCCAUAUAAUAGUGCAUGAUGUGCUCUAUUACAAAACACAGAUGUGUCUGUCCAAGACAGCCUGGGGGCAGCGAGCUGGGGCGUGGCAAGGAGACGAACUGGAAUGACGGGAGAGCCCUAGUGGAUGCACAGUGCACCGCUCUUACACCACAAGCCUCCCGCCCCAGCAUGAUUUAACCCGUGAAGAAAGCAGAGCAUUUAAUAUGUUCUACAGAUGUUUUAAAAAAAGAAUAACGGCGCUUGUCCCAAGUGUGGGAUGGAGGCACACACUCUUCUGAGAUGUGAAGCAAAUUUCAUAUCUCAAAAGAGAAAAAGGACAACAGUUCCUGCUCAGUCACCAAGUCUGAUUCUCAACCCUGGAACGCCUCAGCCUGCCUGAGCCCAGAAAUGAGGCUCCUUGUGAACACUAUGGAAAUGCAAUGGCUGUUUUGAUUUUCCAUAACGGACAGCACACUGGUCCGGGAGGCAUAUCCAAUCUAAAUGAACUAGCAUCUGUGAAACUUCCUAGCACAGUCCCAGCACAUCGCAGGAGCUGAACUAAUGUUCUUUUCCCUUCCCAAGGAACCCUGAAGCCUUUGAAGGAACCGUGAUUGGGAAGGCAUCAACAUUUGCUUUUCGCUGGUAUAAAUUUGGACCACUGGUCUGCCCGGGGUGUCCCCUGCCAGUGGUCGUGGACUGCUAGGGAAGCACAGCACACCCCCCAACACCCCCCCGCAAGGAAGACCCUUCAUUGCCCACCAAUGUCCUCUUUCUGGCGUCCCUCACAUUCCUGGCCGAGACCCUCCCUUCAGUCACGCCAUGAGGUCAGGGCCACGGUUGCCAUUGUCUGCUGGAAGCCAGUGCAGCACUUGGAGCUUAGAAGAUGCACACAACUCUUUGUUAAAGAACAAAGAAAUGGGAGAAAUUUUUUAAAAGAAAAUAAACAGAGAGAAAGAGGGUGAGACGAAGACUGUGGCUGAGGCUUUGUUUUCAGGCCGAAAGCAGGACACUCAGCUCAUUCUCAAUGAAACUUCAACAUCGAUAAUUCAAAUGUCUUAGAAAUUGUACAUUGGAAGGGGAAAUAAAAUGAUUUUUCAGCUCU
rnacentral:lncRNA from 1 species